rnacentral:rRNA from 1 species
GGCAACGGAUAUCUCGGCUCUCGCAUCGAUGAAGAACGUAGCGAAAUGCGAUACUUGGUGUGAAUUGCAGAAUCCCGUGAACCAUCGAGUCUUUGAACGCAAGUUGCGCCCCAAGCCUUCUGGCCGAGGGCACGUCUGCCUGGGUGUCACA